CCCGAAGCCUUCAGGUUGAGGGCACGUCUGCCUGGG
rnacentral:rRNA from 1 species